GAUGAACGCUAGCGGCAGGCUUAACACAUGCCAGUCGAGGGGUAUUUAUCUUCGGAUAGAGAGACCGGCGCACGGGUGCGUAACGCGUAUGCAAUCUACCUUUUACAGAGGGAUAGCCCAGAGAAAUUUGGAUUAAUACCUCAUAGUAUAUAGACUCGGCAUCGAGAUUAUAUUAAAGUCACAACGGUAAAAGAUGAGCAUGCGUCCCAUUAGCUAGUUGGUAAGGUAACGGCUUACCAAGGCUACGAUGGGUAGGGGUCCUGAGAGGGAGAUCCCCCGCACUGGUACUGAGACACGGACCAGACUCCUACGGGAGGCAGCAGUGAGGAAUAUUGGACAAUGGGCGCAAGCCUGAUCCAGCCAUGCCGCGUGCAGGAUGACGGUCCUAUGGAUUGUAAACUGCUUUUAUACGAGAAGAAACACUGCUACGUGUAGCAGCUUGACGGUAUCGUAAGAAUAAGGAUCGGCUAACUCCGUG
rnacentral:rRNA from 1 species